CCUACGGGUGGCUGCAGUGAGGAAUAUUGGUCAAUGGACGAGAGUCUGAACCAGCCAAGUAGCGUGAAGGAUGACUGCCCUAUGGGUUGUAAACUUCUUUUAUAAAGGAAUAAAACGAGGCACGUGUGCCUUUUUGCAUGUACCUUAUGAAUAAGGAUCGGCUAACUCCGUGCCAGCAGCCGCGGUAAUACGGAGGAUCCGAGCGUUAUCCGGAUUUAUUGGGUUUAAAGGGAGCGUAGAUGGGUUGUUAAGUCAGUUGUGAAAUUUUGCGGCUCAACCGUAAAAUUGCAAUUGAUACUGGCAGUCUGGAGUACAGGUGAGGUAGGCGGAAUUCGUGGUGUAGCGGUGAAAUGCUUAGAUAUCACGCAGAACCCCGAUUGCGAAGGCAGCUUACUAAACUGUGACUGACAUUGAUGCUCGAAAGUGUGGGUAUCAAACAGGAUUAGAUACCCCUGUAGUC
rnacentral:rRNA from 1 species